UCAAAUGUUGGUGUUAAAUGAUC
rnacentral:piRNA from 1 species